GUUAAAGAUCGGCCUUGUCGAGGAAGUUUUGAAACGGUUGGCUAGCCUUAGAUUCAAUCUUUGGAAGAUCCAGGCACCGGAGCAGGCACUGACCCAAAAGUUCCAAGAAGUGGUCUCUCAAAAACGGAUCUUGGUGUAUAGAUACCCCAGAGGGAGCCGGCGGAGCAUGCCUUGUCACCAGCAGUUGUGCCUCCCUCCAUUCCUUUGCUUGAUUGAAUUCUUCUGAGAAUCAUUCCU
rnacentral:misc_RNA from 1 species